rnacentral:lncRNA from 1 species
UCCAAUAUGAAAGACUCAAUAAUAUGUUCUGCUUCAUAUGCUAAAUCUCUAAUUCGCCCAUCCAAGAUGUUGGCUUUUUCGGGAAAAUCUUCAAGAAACUCUUGCAAGAAAAUAAAUGGUUCAUAGAUAGAUCGAAUUUGUUGUUUUUUAUUACGAGAAAUGGAAUAUCUAUCUUGAUCCAAGAUUAUUUCUGCAGUGGUUCGGGCGAGGGAAAGAAGAGCAGCAUAAGCCAUCUUUGGUGAUCACAGUUAAGUUUUUGCUACUAG